CAAUGCUGUAAAAAUGCAAUGUUUAUCAUUCCGGGACCCAACCGUAAUAUGUGAAAAUCGAUAUGGAAUGUUUCUGUUCUUUUAACUCUCGCACAUGCUUGAAACACAUUAAAACUUACUGAAAAUGUAAAAAAAAAAAGGCAUAAAAUGCAGAGAAAAUGUACUCUAGCGCUGAUUCGUGUUGUGUGCUGCAAAUGCCUGUCAUUGCCAGUGAAGCUCAAAUUUGGUCCCACUCUUUUCAGACCGAAACCAGUUGGGAGUAUCCACUCUUGAGUACGUACCGAGACUGAUUACCAAUAUCACUUGUACUUUGGCGACAUAAAUUUUGAAAAUUAACGUACUUAAUGAUGGACAAAGACCUUUCUGUCUUUAUGAAUCAGGUGAUGAUUCUCCGAUGUCUCAAAUGGCUGCAGUGUAGCUACAAUUACCAACAAGUGAGACAUGUUCAAUAUCUUUUUUUUUUGCCUUAGGUAUCUGUCGUCCUUCAGAAGUACCAAUAUUUUGUAAUAAGGCCAGUAUUUACCCGAUAAUGAUGCAUAGUAUCGGCACGCGCCCAUUUCUAGCCCAGGGUAUUGAGUUCCAGUUGGCUGUUUUGUUGCGAGAGAACAAAAAGUAAGUCUGUCCUUCCCAUAUGCACACAUGCAGAAGUUUUACCUUGGAAUGGUCAGGAUCGUCCUCUGGCAAGAAACGAAACUAAAAUUGUUCCAUCCAUGAAUGUGUGAUGUUAGCAGUGGUUAAUGACAGCCACAGAGAACGAAAAUUCCAUGCAACUGCUCCAAAAUGUUUUAUUCUCAUGGACACGAAAACCCCCCCACAAAAACUGAUUGCCAUAAAAAGUAAACACCCAUGAUAUCACCUCGAUUUCUGCAACAAACAAUACUUGCUCCAAAACUCCGCAAUAUAGAACUGGGCAGUGAUAGGUAAGCCGCUCCACAAUGAGGACAUACCGUUCAUCCGGCCAGCCUCAUGCAGCCGCUCGUGCGUCCGAAGCGGCGUGUUUGAAACCACGUUGCUCAUCUCCGACACGAAGCUGCUUAUCACUUGAAUAAUUUAGCGGCGGAAUUUAUGGCUUUAAUUCCUCACGCAGCGGAAUAUACCGGCAAUAGAUUGUCUUUAUAUGCCGCCUGAACUAUGCUACAGGGAGCCCUCGCUGUCAGGCUGUUAUAUUGUGACUAAUAUCUCUGUUAUGUCUCUGGAACAAGAAAAGCUUGUCCCUUGUGUGCAUGCGGUGGCGCCCGUUCGCCGGAUUGUCCUCGCACUGAUAUGAUUGCGUCUCAGAUAACAUGUAGCGCGCCUGCAGAGGACACCAAAUGGUCAGGCAAGCCUCCCGUGUUGCUCUCCAGCUGCGAGAUAAACCCUCAAAUUCGAUUUGCUGCCGUCUGACACUGUUGACCCGCCGUGUUGACCCCUCCCAGCUCAGCUACAGAUACGAUGCAGACUUAAAAACUUGGCGAUUAAUGUAUGUAAUUGGUUUCUUUUGACUUGACUGACUUGUUAAUGGGAUCUUUUUAUUCAUUGCAAUCUGCUUUUUUCAAAGCUUCUACUGUAACAUGACAAUGGGACUUAACAAAAAAUAGCCAUCAUAACGACAGUAUUUACCUUAUUUUCCGGACUAUAGGGCGCAGUUUUUUUUCAUAGUUUGGCUGGGGGCGACUUAUACCCUGGAGUUAAUAAUUUAUUGUUGACAUUAUUAACACAACAAUAAAUAAAUAUAAAAUAAUAAAAUAAUACAUAAAAUAAUAAAAUAAUAAAAUUUAUUGUUGACAUUAUUAACACAGGGCGGCCUGGUAGUCCAGUGGUUAGCACGUCGGCUUCACAGCGCAGAGGUACCGGGUUCGAUUCCAGCUCCGGCCUCCCUGUGUGGAGUUUGCAUGUUCUCCCCGGGCCUGCGUGGGUUUUCUCCGGGUGCUCCGGUUUCCUCCCACAUUCCAAAAACAUGAGUGGCAGGCUGAUUGGACGCUCUAAAUUGUCCCUAGGUGUGAGUGAGGUUGCGAAUGGUUGUUCGUUUCUGUGUGCCCUGCGAUUGGCUGGCAACCGAUUCAGGGUGUCCCCCGCCUACUGCCC